rnacentral:rRNA from 1 species
UACGUAGGGUGCAAGCGUUAAUCGGAAUUACUGGGCGUAAAGGGCGCGUAGGCGGCCUGUUAAGUCGAACGUGAAAUCCCUGGGCUCAACCCAGGAACUGCGUCCGAUACUGGCAGGCUUGAAUUCGGGAGAGGGAUGCGGAAUUCCAGGUGUAGCGGUGAAAUGCGUAGAUAUCUGGAGGAACACCGGUGGCGAAGGCGGCAUCCUGGACCGACAUUGACGCUGAGGCGCGAAAAGCCAGGGGGAGCAAA